rnacentral:rRNA from 1 species
AACGAACGCUGGCGGCAUGCCUAACACAUGCAAGUCGAACGAGACCUUCGGGUCUAGUGGCGCACGGGUGCGUAACGCGUGGGAACCUGCCCUUAGGUUCGGAAUAACUCCCCGAAAGGGGUGCUAAUACCGGAUAAUGUCUUCGGACCAAAGAUUUAUCGCCUUUGGAUGGGCCCGCGUGGGAUUAGCUAGUUGGUAGGGUAAAAGCCUACCAAGGCGACGAUCCAUAGCUGGCCUGAGAGGAUGAUCAGCCACACUGGGACUGAGACACGGCCCAGACUCCUACGGGAGGCAGCAGUGGGGAAUAUUGGACAAUGGGCGAAAGCCUGAUCCAGCAAUGCCGCGUGAGUGAUGAAGGCCUUAGGGUUGUAAAGCUCUUUUACCCGGGAUGAUAAUGACAGUACCGGGAGAAUAAGCACCGGCUAACUCCGUG